rnacentral:rRNA from 1 species
CAACCUGCCCACCACUUGGGGAUAACCUUGCGAAAGUAAGACUAAUACCCAAUGAUAUCUCUAGAANACAUCUGAAAGAGAUUAAAGAUUUAUCGGUGAUGGAUGGGGAUGCGUCUGAUUAGCUUGUUGGCGGGGUAACGGCCCACCAAGGCUACGAUCAGUAGGGGUUCUGAGAGGAAGGUCCCCCACAUUGGAACUGAGACACGGUCCAAACUCCUACGGGAGGCAGCAGCGAGGAAUAUUGGUCAAUGGACGAGAGUCUGAACCAGCCAAGCAGCGUGCAGGAUGACGGCCCUAUGGGUUGUAAACUGCUUUUAUAAGGGAAUAAAGUGAGUCUCGUGAGACUUUUUGCAUGUACCUUAUGAAUAAGGACCGGCUAAUUCCGUGCCAGCAGCCGCGGUAAUACGGAAGGUCCGGGCGUUAUCCGGAUUUAUUGGGUUUAAAGGGAGCGUAGGCCGGAGAUUAGGCGUGUUGUGAAAUGUAGACGCUCAACGUCUGCACUGCAGCGCGAACUGGUUUCCUUGAGUACGCACAAAGUGGGCGGAAUUCGUGGUGUAGCGGUGAAAUGCUUAGAUAUCACGAAGAACUCCGAUUG